UACAGAGGCCUCAAGCGUUGUUCGGAAUCACUGGGCGUAAAGGGUGCGUAGGCGGCGCGGAAAGUCAGAGGUGAAAUCCCCGGAGCUCAACUCCGGAACUGCCUCCGAUACUCCCGCGCUCGAGGACUGGAGAGGAGUCUGGAAUUCACGGUGGAGCAGUGAAAUGCGUGGAUAUCGUGAGGAACACCGAUGGCGAAGGCAAUCCCCUGGACCUGUACUGACGCUCAUGCA
rnacentral:rRNA from 1 species